UAAUGUUUGAUGUUCUAACGUGGGCCCCUAAUCGGGGUUGCGGACAGUGUCUGGUGGGUAGUUUGACUGGGGCGGUCUCCUCCUAAAGAGUAACGGAGGAGCACGAAGGUUGGCUAAUCCUGGUCGGACAUCAGGAGGUUAGUGCAAUGGCAUAAGCCAGCUUGACUGCGAGCGUGACGGCGCGAGCAGGUGCGAAAGCAGGUCAUAGUGAUCCGGUGGUUCUGAAUGGAAGGGCCAUCGCUCAACGGAUAAAAGGUACUCCGGGGAUAACAGGCUGAUACCGCCCAAGAGUUCAUAUCGACGGCGGUGUUUGGCACCUCGAUGUCGGCUCAUCACAUCCUGGGGCUGAAGUAGGUCCCAAGGGUAUGGCUGUUCGCCAUUUAAAGUGGUACGCGAGCUGGGUUUAGAACGUCGUGAGACAGUUCGGUCCCUAUCUGCCGUGGGCGCUGGAGAACUGAGGGGGGCUGCUCCUAGUACGAGAGGACCGG
rnacentral:rRNA from 1 species